UCCUUGUUCACCCUGCAGCCUUGUGUCUGCUAUCCAGAUGGACUCAUUACAACGAUUCCUCCACAGCUGCCAGGUGUGUGCAGAUGACAGGAAGGGGCUGAUGGAGAAUUCCCAUAUGACCAAUCAAUACUGAGAUGACAGUAGCAGGAUGGCAUGUGUGUUGCUGUCAGGUUCUCCUGGGGAGAGUUCUAGUGAUGUUGAGUGUUGUGUGUCUGCAUCUGCAGCGUGUGUGUAAUGAGAGGGAUAUCCUCUUGGAGACUCCUGUCUGGCAAGAGCUGGAAACAGAUCAUCACCUUGUGGACCUGAUACCAACAGAGAGAGAGUGAAAGACAAGGAAAGAGAGAUGGGAAGGAGGAGAAUGGGAUUAGGGAAGCUACUGUGAACUUUUAUUUAUUUUUAUUUUUUUCUUGGUAGCUGUGGUCACAAAACUUUACCAUAAAAAUACAGUGACAGUUUCAGACAUUAUGGGGCUUUACAGGUAAUUUUAGUGACUGUAUAAUGCUUAACAGGUUUAUGCCGUGGGUUUUUUAUUUUCUUCUCCCAUUAACAUUACUGACAUUUUAUACACUCUACUGCCUAUAAUCUACUAGAUUUAUUUUUCUCUAGAUGGUGAUUUUAAGUCUGUUUAAGGGGUACAUGCUUUUUAUAGCAUUAGAACAGGAAGUUAUAAUUGCCACCACAAGCUAUAACCAAUGCAACCCAGUGCACAAGCUGGAAAAUAUAGCAAUUUCAUUAACGAGGAGAGCCUGCCCAAUGCAGAAGAGAAGAUACUAGUUUCAUUGUGAAUUUCAUUCACUAAGCACUGCCUUAACUGAAAACUUUUCCUUGCCUUAGCAACUAGUCACCAAGUUGUCUGACAUGCUAAUCAAUCAUAUGUUUAAAUGGAUUACCUGUGUGUUUGCAUAGUUUAAAAAACCCCAAAAACAAAUCCAAAAACAAGCAAAAAAUAAACCAUCCCAAAUGAAUGCA
ensembl:lncRNA